rnacentral:rRNA from 1 species
UACGAAGGGGGCUAGCGUUGCUCGGAAUCACUGGGCGUAAAGGGUGCGUAGGCGGGUCUUUAAGUCAGGGGUGAAAUCCUGGAGCUCAACUCCAGAACUGCCUUUGAUACUGAGGAUCUUGAGUUCGGGAGAGGUGAGUGGAACUGCGAGUGUAGAGGUGAAAUUCGUAGAUAUUCGCAAGAACACCAGUGGCAAAGGCGAGCUCUCUGGGUCCCUAC